UACAACUUUCAACAAUGGAUCUCUUGGUUCUGGCAUCGAUGAAGAACGCAGCGAAAUGCGAUAAGUAGUGUGAAUUGCAGACUUUAGUGAAUCAUCGAAUCUUUGAACGCACAUUGCGCCCCUUGGUAUUCCAUUGGGCAUGCCUGUUCGAGCGUCA
rnacentral:rRNA from 1 species